GCAUGCUUUUACUUUCACUCUCUUUGUAAUAAAAAACGAUUUCCCGGUCGGAAUAUUAUCGCUUUUUUACGAGAAAAAUGGCAUAAAAAUUGAUUUUAAUCAGCAGUUGACAUGCUUCGAAGUACGGUAAUGGAAUAUUUAGAAUUUUUUUGUCACGAAAUGCGCCAUGCUCGUGACCCUUAUUUACCCUUUCGGAUAGUGUCUUGAACGCACGAACAAAACGCCGCUAUUUGGAUAUAACUCUGGAUUAUUUGGGACCAACAUUUGUUAUUGAAGUAGAAGUCCUGGGAGUGCAUUCUGAUGAAGAACAGCAAAGGAUGUAGCUUAGAAGAUCCAGGAUAUGUUACUGCUGUUCACUCUACCGGGAGUGCUGUUAUCAAGCUCACUCAAUGAAGCUAACUCUCAAGACGGAUGUAGCUUAGAAGAUCCAGGAUAUGUUACUGCUGUUCACUCUACCGG
rnacentral:lncRNA from 1 species